AACGAACGCUGGCGGCAUGCUUAACACAUGCAAGUCGAACGAAGUCUUCGGACUUAGUGGCGCACGGGUGCGUAACGCGUGGGAAUCUGCCCUUGGGUACGGAAUAACUCAGAGAAAUUUGUGUUAAUACAGCUUAAUGUCUUCGGACCAAAGAUUUAUCGCCCAAGGAUGAGCCCGCGUAAGAUUAGCUAGUUGGUGGGGUAAAAGCCUACCAAGGCGACGAUCUUUAGCUGGUCUGAGAGGAGGAUCAGCCACACUGGAACUGAGACACGGCCCAGACUCCGACGGGAGGCAGCAGUAGGGAAUAUUGGACGAUGGGCGAAAGCCUGAUCCAGCAAUGCCGCGUGAGUGAUGAAGGCCCUAGGAUUGUAAAGCUCUUUUACCAGAGAUGAGAAUGACAGUACCUGGAGAAUAAGCUCCGGCUAACUCCGUG
rnacentral:rRNA from 1 species